rnacentral:rRNA from 1 species
UCCAAAGGAAUUGACGGGGGCCCGCCCAAGGCGUGGAGCAUGUGGUUUAAUUCGACCGCAACCGCGCAGAACCUUACCAACCCCUUGACAUACUUGUCGCGGAUUCCCAGAGAUGGAUUCCCUUCAGUUCCGGUUGGACCAAGUACAGUUGCUGCAUGGCUGUCGUCAGCUCGUGUCGUGAGAUGUUCGGUUAAGUCCGGCAACGAGCGCAACCCACGUCCUUAGUUACCAGCAUUUAGUUGGGUACCCUAAGGAGACUGCCGGUGAUAAGCCGGAGGAAGGUGUGGACGACGUCAAGUCAUCAUGGCCCUUACGGGUUGGGCUACACACGUGCUACAAUGGCAUCUACAGUGAGUUAAUCUCCAAAAGAUGUCUCAGUUCGGAUUGGGGUCUGCAACUCGACCCCAUGAAGUUGGAAUCGCUAGUAAUCGCGGAACAGCAUGCCGCGGUGAAUACGUUCCCGGGCCUUGUACACACCGCCCGUCACACCAUGGGAAUUGGGUCUACCCGAAGGUGGUGCGCCAACUAUUUAUAGGGGCAGCCAACCACGGUAGGUUCAGUGACUGGGGUGAAGUCGUAACAAGGUAGGCGUAAUCACUAGUGAAUUCAR